CGGGCGGCGUGCUAUACUGCAGUCGAGCGAAUGGAUUAAGAGCUUGCUCUUAUGAAGUUAGCGGCGGACGGGUGAGUAACACGUGGGUAACCUGCCCAUAAGACUGGGAUAACUCCGGGAAACCGGGGCUAAUACCGGAUAACAUUUUGCACCGCAUGGUGCGAAAUUGAAAGGCGGCUUCGGCUGUCACUUAUGGAUGGACCCGCGUCGCAUUAGCUAGUUGGUGAGGUAACGGCUCACCAAGGCAACGAUGCGUAGCCGACCUGAGAGGGUGAUCGGCCACACUGGGACUGAGACACGGCCCAGACUCCUACGGGAGGCAGCAGUAGGGAAUCUUCCGCAAUGGACGAAAGUCUGACGGAGCAACGCCGCGUGAGUGAUGAAGGCUUUCGGGUCGUAAAACUCUGUUGUUAGGGAAGAACAAGUGCUAGUUGAAUAAGCUGGCACCUUGACGGUACCUAACCAGAAAGCCACGGCUAACUACGUGCCAGCAGCCGCGGUAAUACGUAGGUGGCAAGCGUUAUCCGGAAUUAUUGGGCGUAAAGCGCGCGCAGGUGGUUUCUUAAGUCUGAUGUGAAAGCCCACGGCUCAACCGUGGAGGGUCAUUGGAAACUGGGAGACUUGAGUGCAGAAGAGGAAAGUGGAAUUCCAUGUGAAGCGAA
rnacentral:rRNA from 2 species